rnacentral:lncRNA from 1 species
UGUUGUAUGAAGUUUUGAUAAAUAAUUUGCCAAAUCUUUUGCCAAAGUAUUAUUGUGAUUGCUCAUUUUACUUAUUUCAAAUCAAUUUAAUGAAAAUAAACUCGUAUAGGGAGGAUUCGAACAUGGAAAAUGACUAGUUGCUUAAGCGUUCACGUUAGGGUCACACGAUCAAUUACAUCUUGAAUGUAUCGUCUCUAUUUCUAAUAUCUGAACACACAAAGAAACUAUAAUCUCUUCCUUACAACUAUUUAGUCAUACCAAUAACUGCUAUUUCCACCAAUACAUUCACCCUCAUAAUCUCCAACUGUAAUACUAUGCCCUCACAGCUUUCAGUACACAAUUACCCUCAUUCCAAUCACAUGAAUUCUUCACACAGAACUGCCAUUCACAUUAUGAUGUUUCACACAAACAUAGACUCAUUCUCUCUAUUGAAUUACAAUCAAACUUCAGCAUUCAAUCUUUCUUCUUCUCAAAUAAUACCAAUCACAUUUCCAUUCCAUAAUUCACUUCACAAUAUUCAAAAACUCUCAAUCCUCUUAUUUAAAGAAAAU